GACGAACCACACAAACGUUAUUCGGAAUUACUGGGCUUAAAGGGUGCGUAGGCUGCGCAGAAAGUUGGGUGUGAAAUCCCUCGGCUCAACCGAGGAACUGCGCCCAAUACUACUGUGCUCGAGGGAGACAGAGGUGAGCGGAACUUAGGGUGGAGCGGUGAAAUGCGUUGAUAUCCUAAGGAACACCCGUGGCGAAAGCGGCUCACUGGGUCUCUUCUGACGCUGAGGCACGAAAGCUAGGGUAGCGAACGGG
rnacentral:rRNA from 2 species